ACAACAUGUUUUUAGUACAUGUAUGUCUGGUGCAAUAAUUGGGACAUACUUAUGCUAAAAAAAUUAGUGUU